rnacentral:rRNA from 1 species
UCGAGGAUUUUUCUCAAUGGGGGAAACCCUGAAGGAGCGACGCCGCGUGAGGGAUGAAGGUCUUCGGAUUGUAAACCUCUGUCAUCUGGGAACAAUGUGAUCUACCUAACACGUGGAUCAUUGAUAGUACCGGAAGAGGAAGCAGUGGCUAACUCUGUGCCAGCAGCCGCGGUAAUACAGAGACUGCAAGCGUUGUUCGGAUUCAUUGGGCGUAAAGGGUGCGCAGGCGGUGCGUUAAGUCGGGUGUGAAAUCUCACAGCCUAACUGUGAUAGGUCAUUCGAAACUGGCGCGCUAGAGGACUGGAGAGGAGACUGGAAUGGUCGGUGUAGCGGUGAAAUGCGUAGAGAUCGACCAGAACACCGGUGGCGAAGGCGGGUCUCUGGACAGUUCCUGACGCUCAGGCACGAAAGCCAGGGGAGCAAACGGGAUUAGAUACCCGCGUAGUCC